UGGUGCUGUGCUCUGACCUACUAACCCGGCCCUACUAACUGGUUUCUCUUCUUACUAACCCAGCCCUGCCGAGCUCUGGGC
ensembl:misc_RNA predicted gene, 27882